GCCUAUAGGAGGGAGCACCAAGUUGUCUCAGAACCAUGUCUUCUUCUGUAUGCUGACAUCAUUUUAGUUUGCCAGGUCAGAAGGUGGCUGUGUCUACUCCUGCUGGAUUAUUCACUUCUACACUCCCGGGACAGAUAGGCAGCAUUAUGUGAUCACAAAAUCCUCACCCCACAAAGCUGGCUGCGGGAAUUCCGCUACGUGGUGUGCUUCGAGAUGAACCACGAAGAACGAGAAUGGACCAAAGUCACUUCAUUUUCCUAGUCAAAAUUCAACUAUAUUAAAUAUGAAGCAAUGUUCCAGGUGUAAUUCUGCUCCUGCAUGGCAGCCCUAGCUCAGCAGGGGCCACCGUUCUGCAUUAAGGCAGCCACACCAUGGGCAAAAGGCUCCACUUUCGAUGUAUGUACAGUAGCCCCUUUUUAUCCAUUCACAUAGAAGGAACCAUACACCGGUUAUUUAGGAAAAGCUUAAUAUCAAAUGGCAAUUUUGUUUUCUUGCAUUGUCCAUUAUUUAAUUAAAACAACUGCCUGCAGACUCGCACAAUGGCAGCUGAGCUGGAAGCACACCAGUGACUGUUGCUGUGCCACUCGCACUACGCGGACACGAUAAAUGCGCUUCUACCAAUUCCUCUCAAUAGCUACCAGCUUUUUUCUUACCUCAAAAAUAAAGUUCCUGUGACUCAGAUCCAUCAAACCAGACAGGUCUGGGCAGCAGUUAACACACAAUGCAGAAUUAGGUCACAUCUUCAGAAUCUACAAGAGCUCUUUCUUGCUUGGGUCUCAGAACUGAAAAGUCGCUACUGAUGGAAGAAAACCCUGACCACAGAGAGAGGUGGAAGGGGGACUGGAUGGGCUGGGUUCAACUCAGAGACACUGCAUUUUCAGCAAGAAGAAAAAGUUUCAUUGUUAUUAGUUACAGAGUAAUGAGAGGGCACAGUUUUAAAGCAAACAAGCUACUGAAGCACUCCUGACCAUUUUUACCAAGAAAGGAAGAUGAAACAGAACUCUAUAGUUCAUUUACCGAAGCCUUCUUCAGAAGUCAAUUAAAUCCAGCAACAACUGGAAGGUCUUUCUUGCAAGAUUACAUCCACUAAGCAAGUUGCACGUUACCUUUUGGACAUCUUUUUCCAGGGAUUAUUUUCAGUCUUUAAUAAGAAAGACAAAUGGUUCACAUGCAAAUGUGUGCUUUAUAAGCACACAGAAAGUAGUAGGGAUGGCGUAACACAGUCUUUUUCAAGAGGAUCAAGCAAAGAGAAAUAAGCACUAAUCUAAUAUUGCAUUUGUAAUGCAACCAUAAUUGAGAAGUGAAGAGUCAUUUAUUUUCCUACAGCUCCAGUUGUAGUUGUACCAGUAGAAACUGGGAGCACGUGCUGAAACGCAGCGCGGUGCCCAAUUCCGCAGGGACUACAACCAGCUCUGGAAUACACGUAGGUUCCAAGACCAGGCACAUGGAUUCCCUCAGCCCUGGUUUCAUCUUCCACACCGUGCAUAUUCCCUGCAGCCAAAGCACCACGGAGGUGACAUACGAGUAUGGGAACAGUGGGAACUCCCACUGCAGCCCUUGUUCUAAAUGAUUUCUGCAGCUGUGAGCAGGCAGGGCACAGGGACACCAAACUGGAGAGAACGGUACGAUCAGUGUGUGCACAACUACAGGCAUUUCAGAAACCGCCUAAAACUUAGCAAGUAUCACCUUAAAACAUGACCAAGUUCCAGCAAUGCAAUUGCUAUCCCGAAAUUCACUUCUGUGCCACAGGUCAGCGUUGUGAGUUCCUCUGAGCACUUCGGCUUCCAAAAUCAUCUCAGACCACAGACGUUCAUACAAGGAAAACAAGAAUAAAGGUCAGGACUUCAGGUGUGAAAGUUUUACAGAAGAGGGCAAGAAUUCCAGGUGGGUCCUGAGUAGCAAGAAAGAUUCUAUGGAGCUUUGCCACAGUAAAGAAGCUUUAGGAGGUCUUGUUUAGAAAAGCACGCAACUGCUCCAAAAAGUAAGCUUUGGUACAAUAACUACUAUGUCAGACUACGAUCCAUAAUACAAAGGCUGUGGGACUGGAAUAUUUCUGACAGCAUUCUCCAGGAAUAAGGUUAUAACAACCUCAAAAGUUCCUGCCUGGAAACAAAGGAUAAAGGGAUCAGAGCACAGCGUUUUGUGUGGUGGAACCACCCAGCCUGGGCAGGCGGGCGCUGAAGGAUGGAACAAAACCUGCAGCACCUCAUUAGAGCAACAAAAACCACUGCUGCUUAAUAGCUGUGACAGAGAAAGUGAAUAACAGAGAUGGCACAGCUUCAGAUCUGCUGUGCUGAAGAACACAUACCACACCUCAGCUUAGUUGAAGAACAAACAGAUCAUACUCAGCAUGCAACAGAGACAAAUCAAGAGAUUGUUCAAAAAAGUUUUGAAAAUAAAUGCAGUCUUUUAUUAGCACUGUUAUUUUGUCAGCACGUGACGCUGGCAGGGGGUGAGAAACAGAGCAGUUACGAAACUCAAGUCGGGAACUGGAUAAAACCACCUUCAUCAGAACCUCAGAGAGAGCCCCAAGGAGGUGCUGCAUCACUGCUGUUCCACUGGGCCUCUCCGGCAAAGGGCUGGGUUGUUUUUCUGCCAUCAGUUAGCAAUGUGGCAGCAUCACGCGUGCUGUUUCAGGGCACGCUGCCACACCACACUGAUCCAUGCAUUCUCUGGCUUCCCAAAACACAUAGCACUCUGUGUAUUUAGUAAAAACUUUGAGGACAUAUCAAUAGGCUAGCGUGGGAAUAAAAAGCUGUAACAAAUGCAAUCAAAAUGACCAUUUCCAUCCAAUUGCACAGCUCUCAGCCCUGUGGUCUACUCAGAAAGCCCUGCGGAGACCAGCCCUGGCAAUUCCUGAGAUGGCAGGGAGUUGUUUUUAAGAAGUGCUGUGAUUUGUUUUUU
rnacentral:lncRNA from 1 species